UUUCAGUUUUUUUGCUCUGUUUCCAUUGUGAGAAAGAAGAAAGACAUCCCUUAGUUCAUUUUCAACGUCUAUAACAUAGCAACAGAAAAGCGGGAGGAGGAAAGAGCAAGAGGAGUGGGCCAGAAGAGAGGCACUGGAGAAAGAACAGGAGCUUCUACGGCAUUAGUUUAAUGAGCUGUGACAAAAGUUGGAGGACCAAGAGUCUCUGAGUGAUUGAUUAACAGCUAAAAUGACAGAGGAGAUAAGAGAAAGAGAAAAGACCUCAGCAGAAGAUCUGGACGAAAGAGAGGUGCCUAUUUUUUCCGGGAUGGAAAAUGAGCCUCCUGAGCAAACAGUUAAAGAAUUGCAGCAAAUGUUGGAAAACCAAAAAAUAGGCUUCAUGAAAUUUGUAUUCAAAAUAAUAGGAGAUACAAGAGAGAGAGAGAAACUUCUGAGGGAGAUGAAUGAGAAGAUUGAGUGGCUCAAGGCCUCGGUGAUGAUAACAGAUGAACAAGAAGAAUGCUGCAUGAAGGAAGGUGACCUCCUUUGUGAUACAGGGGAGACCUCAGCAGCAGAGUGGGCCAGAAGAGAGGCAGCUGAGAGGGGAAAGGAGCCUCUUGAGCAAAAGGUUAAGUUGCUGCAGCAAAAGCUGGAUAAGGAAGAAAUAGCCUUUGAGGAAUUCAGAGUCAAAAUGACAGAGGAGAUACGAGAGUGUGAUGAUCUUCUGAGAAAGGUGGACCAGAGUAUUAAGGAGCUGGAGGCCUCAGUGAUGAUAACAGAUGAACAAGAAGAAUGCUGCAUGAAGAAAAGUGAGCUCCUUUGUGAUGCAGGGAAGACCUCAGCAGAAGAGUGGACCAGAAGAGUGGCAGCUGAGAAGGUUAUGGAGUGUCUUGAACAAAAGUACACAGAGUUCUGGCAAAAGUUGGAGGACCAAGAAAGAGUCCAUGAAGGACUUAUAGCCAUUAUGACACAGGAGAUAAUAGAAAGAGAAAAGUCCUCAGCAGCAGAGUGGGCCAGAAGAGAGGCAGCUGAGAGGGGAAAGGAGGCUCUUGAGGAAAAGAUUAAAGAGCUGCAGCAAAUGUUGGAGGACCAAGAAAGAGUCUCCGAGGGAUUUAGAGCCCAAGUGCCAGAGGAGAUGAAAGAAAGAGAAAAGACCUCGGCAGAAGAUCUGGACAAAAAAGAAGUUGAGAGGGAAAUGGAAUUGCUUAAACAAAAGAUUAAAGAGCUGCAGCAAAUGUUGGAGGACCAAGAAAGAGUCUCCGAGGGAUUUAGACCCCAAAUACCAGAGGAGAUGAAAGAAAGAGAAAAGACCUCGGCAGAAGAGCCAAACAAAAGAGAAGAAGCUGAGAGGGAAGAGGAGUCUCUUGAGCAAAAUGUUAAAGGGCUGCAGCAGAAGUUGGAGGACCGACAAACAGACGUCAAUGGAUUAAAAGCCCAAGUGACAGAGGGGAUCAGCAAAAGGGAAAAGACCUCAGCCACAAUAAACAACGAAAAUGAUCAGAUAAUGAGCAAAAUGCUGAAAAUGACUGCACGUCCUAGAUAGAAGAAGACAGUGAGGAAGAAAGUACUUCACUGCCUUUUGUUUUGAUCUUGGAUUUGGGAGAAGAGAAACCAUGCGUGGUCACUAAUUACCCAGUUUUUCUCUUGUUUUGAAUUCUGGCAGUUUUACAACUUUUUAUAACAGCUUUUUGAUCUGACCUAUUUUUAUUUGUGUGUACACUUUCUCUUUUUUUAAAUCAAAUUUUUGUAGAGAAAUAGGAAAAUCACCUAAUAUAGGACAUCAGUGCCUGGCAAACAAAUGAUAGAAUUAAUGUGGCUGGAAAGUUGAUUUAGAUGGAAAUGGAAACAACUGAGUAGAAAAGAAAGAGAUGCUCAGAUUCGUGAUAUAUUUUUAAAAAGCCCAAUAUUGGAAUAUACUUACUAAGAAAUGCUGCUGCAAAUCACAUAUGAAUAGUUAUAGAAAUGGGUAUGUACACUGUGUUCUUGAGAGGAAAGAACCAGUUCCGCCUAUAAAAUAACUGUCUCUUAGUUCACGUGUAAAUUUUAUGUGUUCCAAGUUAAAAUUUCACAAAGACUGUUUCUAAAUUUUAAAUGAAGCUGAUCAAAAAAAAAAAAAAAAUUAAAAAGCCAUGACAAUUUGGAAGAGUCACAAUGAAAUGUACAGAAUUACAAUAAUUAGAACAAUGUGUUGCCAAGGCAGAAAUAUAAAAACAGAGCAUAAGAACAUGUUACAGUCUAAAAAUAGAACUGAGAACAUACUUGAUUGAAAGUAUGUGAAGAGUGUUAUUUCAAAUCAGUGGAAAAAUAUAAACCAUACAUCAAGUGUCGUCAGCCAUCUGGACAGCCACGUAGCGUAAAAGGGUGACUAGAGCUCUUAUAAACCUCGCACAGAGUAAAUUCCAGCCUAACCUUAGACUGAAACAUUUAAACAUCUCCAUAAAAAUAAUAAAUGUCAGAUAAUUGUAAAACAAAUUUGGAAUAUCAAAUUUAUUUUUAAGUGACAUAAAACUCAAAGAUAUAAAAAUAGUGACAAAACUCCAUAAAAAUAAAUUUGUUGUGGUAAAAGGAGCAUAGACAUUCAGAAGCCAAAAUGAUCACCUCAAUUUAAGUCAUAGAAGAGAACAAAAUUUAUACUAGGUAUGAAUCAUAUAGAGCCACAAGUCAAUAAAAAUGGGCUGACUUUGCAUAGACAGCUUAUAGAAAAGUCAGAUAUUCAAGUCACUCAAAAUAAGAAAAAUGAAACUAAAAUGAUGAGAAAGUGUUUUGCUACUGAGUCCAAACCCAUUCUGCUCACUGCACGACAGGCCAAUAAAUUGGGAGACCAGGUGUUGGGGCAAGGAAUAAUGACUUUAUUUGAAAAGCCAGCAGACCGAGAAGAUGGCAGACUAAUGUCCUGGAGAACCGUCUUACCCAACUGAGAAUUCAGGCUCCUUUUAUACUAAAAAAGGGAGGCAAUGUGAUUGGUUGUUGCAAAUUUCUUGGUGUCAGAAUCCUUUGUCCUUGCAGCUGUCCACGUAGGUCAGGUCAUGAUGUUCCUGUAAACCUCCAAUGAGACAAAUGUUAUUCUCUGCUUUGCAACCUCCCAUCUCUAUAUGAAUGGAAAAGUGUUAAGCCCUUAAAGGUCAGAGACUUGAGAAUGGGCUAUUCUGUACAUUUCAGGCAGUAGACAAUAUUCUUUUACAAAAGGUGCAGAACCAGGAUGAGUAAGCACAGGAAACAGAGCACAGGGUUAGAGUUAAAGGAGCAGAUCUUACAUGGAGUCAGAUUUGGUCUUCUCUAUUACAACUCCCCACUGCCAAGGUCCUUUCUGCAGUCUUGAGGGAAAAGGGGCAACAGCUGUCCUGGCUACUUCCUGCUGAACAGGGGUGGUGAGAGGGUGAUCAUGGAAGGGAACUGGUCAGCCUUGGACAGGGGACAUCCCUUAGACUCUUCAGUCAGUAGUGCAGUCCUCUUUCUUUAUCUACAACUACUUGAACCUGAUGAAACCCCUCAGUACUUUGUUGAACUUGGGGUUUUGGUUCCAGUUCCCAAUAUAUAUCUAUUAAUGUUAACUUUCCUACUGUACCAUAAUUACACUAGAUCCCUGUGCUAUUUAUUUGGACAAAAUAAACAGAUAGAUUGACCCUUCUCCAGCUACAAUGAAAUUACAAUCUCAAUAUUUAUCUUUUUUAAAGAGCAGCCUUAAGUCUUCUAGAGGUUCACAAACCCAUUGCUCUCCAGGCCUCCCAGGAGUCGGGGCAUGUUUUGAUUCUGAUGACAGUGGUGCUGCUUUAAUCUGAGUGUGAUGAAUCCAUGGCUUUACUCCAGCUAAUCUGACCAAUGAGAACACGAUAAUGACACGUGCGGUCCUAUCCACUUUGUAAUCAGCUGAGUUUCAGGUCCCUGUUCUGUCCAGAUUUUAAGGAGGACUUGGUCUCCAGGUUAGAAAGGAUGCAAGGCUACCAGGCAGACCUGCUGGAGGCAAACUCGUAAAAAGAGAUUAGUAUAGUGCCUAAAGUUUUAGCAUAUUGGCAACUGCUAGGUCUUUUAGAGCAUUUAAAGAUUUUCUUGCCUGGGUAAAAUACCUGAAAUGGCCUACUGUACAGUAUUUUAAAGGGGCUUAAUUUAAACCUGCUUCUGGGGGCCACUCUGAUCCAUAGCAGGGCAACUGGUAUGGCCUCAUCCCAAGUUAAGUAAGUCUCUUGACAUAUUUUAGCAUUAUGCUUUUGGAGCCCAUUCCUGGUUCCUUCCUUGCUGGCAAAAAAAGGUGUCUCAGGAAAAUGGGGCAGGAGAAUGGCCAAGUCCCAGGUUUCAGGUGAGUCCCUGGGAUGUGCCCCAUCAAGUGAAGGUCCUUGGUGUCGCUCAGGAGAGAAUUCAAAAGCGAGCCAUCGUAGAGUGAAUGUAGAUUUAUUCAGGAGAUACACGCUCCAUAGAUAGAGGGUGGGCCAUCUCAGAAAGCCAAAGAAGCCAUAAGCCAUGGGGGUGUUUAGUUUAAAGGAAAAGUAGUUACACUUUCCACAGACAGAGUGAGGGUCGAUUCAGAAGGCAAGAUAGACAGAGCCCCCAUCGGCUGCAAGGUUGUUAGUUUUUCUGGGCUCAGUAAUUUCAUAUGCUAACAAGUAGGAGGAUUUUUCCAGCUACUUUGAGGAAGGGGCAAGGGUUCCCAGGAAUUGGGCCAUCACCCAUUUUUUUGGCCUGGGAACUGUCAUGGCACCUGUGGGAGUGCCAUCUAGCAUGCUAAUAAUCAGGAUGAACGUAUGAUGAAGCUCCGGGUCUACUGAGAUUUAAAUCUUCUGCCAGCUUGGGCCUAGCUAUUGUGACUUUCUUUUAAUGGUGGUACAUGCCCCCUUCCCAUGUCUCAGUUUAAUGUAAGGGCCAUGCAAGGAGAAUGGAUGGCUUCUGCUCUGAAGGCCCCAACUCCCCCAUCAUUUUCCUGGAAGAGUUCUAAAAUGUAAAGUUUACAGGGUGUGUUGUGGGGCCAAGUGGAGUCCUUCAAUAUCCAAUGACCCUCAUUCCUGGGUUCUCAGAUGUCUGCCUGUAAUCUCUUAAAAGAUAAAGUACAUUUUUUACUGGGCAUGUUUGAAUAGCCCUAGGUAAUGUCUAAUCUCACAAUCGCUCAGGCUAGUUUGUUUGAGCCUACCUUAUCAGAGUCAUAAAUCCCACCACCUUUCAGGGACCCUAAACUUCUUAUGUCACCUACAACCAAUCAAAAGCUUGUGCAGGAGCUGAUUACACAGCCCCCAAGCCAUUGUGUUUACCAACUCCUCCAUCCCCAUAAAAGGCCUCAGCAACCAACCCCCAGAGCUCACACAGGCACUUCUCAUCUGCAUGGUUCACUGUAUCAGCAGCAUAUCUAUUAAACUUUUCUUUGUCCUUUAAGCUUUUCUUAGUCUUUGGUAAAUUCUUUUACUGCCCGUGACAUUGGUCCACUUGUCCCUGGAAAUGUGUGACAUUCUUCUGAUUGGUUGGUAGUAAGGUAAUAGGGUGAUAUCUAUGGAAUCUCAAUCUUCUGAUUCCAACUAGUCUGAUGUAUAUGUCCUUAUGGUCAGCAUGUAGUCACCACCUUCUACUUAGUUGAGGGACUUGUUUCUGUAGAAGAACUCAGAGAUAUGUAUCCAACUGUCAUCUAUAUCCCUUCAGGAGGAACUUGGAGUUCUGUGACUCUAUUGUCCUAUUAACCACUUGAGCCUGCACUUUGGGAUGCAGUGAAGGCCUAGGAGACUAAAAACUCUUUUUUCCCCUACAAACAAGAAACAGGGGACAUCGAGGGACUUUUGCAUGAGGGAGGAUCAUGCAGGGUUCUGCUAGGUUUCAACAGCAGAAAACUAACCAAUAAAAAAUGGUGCUAAAUUGCUUUGUCAUAGAAAUUUUAAUUGCUCCCCAAAACAAGAUAAUGAGUAAAGGAAAGAAUAAAAUGGGGAAGAACCAGUAAGAUAGAAAGGGGCUGGGCUUUGGUGGAAUGAAGAGCUCAUGGCUCCCUUCAAAGCUGUGAUGGGCAAUAUGAAGAAAUAAAGAUCUCGGAGGCAGGACCAAGAUGGCGGCGUAGAAGGACGGUCGUAGCUCACCCUCGCCCACAAAUACACCAGAACUCACAUCCGCGGACCCACCCAGCCAACCAGAGCACCUGCUGAACUCCAACAGAACAUUGCCCUCUUCAAAAGACAAAGACACCACGAAUCUGGUAAGAGAAAAGUUAAAAAGAAAGAAGAAAAAGCAAAACAGUGCGGGACCGGUCCCGCGGGGAGGGAGCAGCAGAGGAGGACUGGCGCUCGCUCGCUGGGUCUCCCCUCUCCAACGGAGAAGCCAGCGGGACG
ensembl:lncRNA